rnacentral:rRNA from 1 species
UACGUAGGGGGCAAGCGUGGUCCGGAUUUAUUGGGCGUAAAGAGCGUGUAGGCGGCCGUACAGGUCAGCUGUGAAAACUCGAGGCUCAACCUCGAGACGUCGGUUGAAACCGUACGGCUAGAGUCCGGAAGAGGAGAGUGGAAUUCCCGGUGUAGCGGUGAAAUGCGCAGAUAUCGGGAAGAACACCCGUGGCGAAGGCGGCUCUCUGGGACGGUACUGACGCUGAGACGCGAAAGCGUGGGGAGCGAACAGG